UACGGAGGGGGCUAGCGUUGUUCGGAAUUACUGGGCAUAAAGCGCGCGUAGGCGGCUUUGUAAGUUAGAGGUGAAAGCCCGGAGCUUAACUCCGGAACUGCCUUUAAGACUGCAUCGCUAGAAUUGUGGAGAGGUGAGUGGAAUUCCGAGUGUAGAGGUGAAAUUCGUAGAUAUUCGGAAGAACACCAGUGGCGAAGGCGACUCACUGGACACAUAUUGACGCUGAGGUGCGAAAGCGUGGGGAGCAAACAGG
rnacentral:rRNA from 1 species